rfam:Plasmodiophora brassicae isolate e3 genome assembly, contig: scaffold_5
GGCUUGUUGACCGAGUGGUUAAGGUGAACGAUUAGAAAUCGUUUGGGCUUGCCCGCGCAGGUUCGAAUCCUGCACAAGCCU